rnacentral:lncRNA from 1 species
AAAUAGUGUUUCUUUCUUCAUAGGAAUUUCUACGUGCAUAAAACAAGUUGACGUAUGUGACAUGCUUAGUAUAUGUCUUGCAAACACCCAUCCAUCUGCCCAUCCUUUAAUCUAUCCAUCUAUCCACCCAUCCAUUCAUCCAUCCUUCUAUCCAUCCUUCCAUCCAUUCAGUUUAGCCAACCAUUUGUUUAUUCAUUAAUCUGCCUAAGUUAUCCACUCCCCUUCCCGUGCAUCUUCCUCCUGUUCAUUCAUUCAUUCAUUCAUUCAUCCCUUUAACAAAUGUACACAUGGAGUUCCAGCUACAGGCCAGACACUAGGCUCUUUGCAAGACAGCUGACAUUGAAGUCCCUAACCCAAGGAAGGAGACAGAUGUUAGACAAAGAAGAAGACACAGGACCAAGGCACUUAGAGACACCAAUGGGUGUUACAGAGAAGGUGAAUCAGCGAUGUUCCAGGGAGUGAUGGGCUGGAGAGCCAUCCUCUCAAAUGGGUGCUCAGGCAGGGUGCCCAGGGGAUGGCAAGCAUCCCCCUGUGGAGCGAGUGAACUUGCAAGCAAGAGCAACAGAAAGCGAACUGUUGCCUAAACUUAGUAAAUGAGGAGGAACACAUUGGUUGGAGGUUCUUAAGUUGAGAGCCCUGAAUGGGUUUCAGUGUCCAUGACCAUUUCACAUUGUCUGCAAAAGAUUAGUGUUGGGGCAAAUCACCUAGGCCUCUGGAGUGCAUACCUUCAUAUAGACAUGAACACUCACAUAUUAUAGUUGUG